UUUAUUGUGUAAUAGAUGUGCUAUGUGUUUCAGUUUAAUAGAAGCCAAUAUAAUAGGGGGCCAGCUGGGGCCUCCAGAGGCCAGCCUCUUUCCCACCACGCACAGUAGGGCCACACAGCCCGCCCUGAUGGCGAGACCCUCCAGCGGGAGGUGAUGGAGAAGGGCUGGCCACAGACUCCUGGCCCAGACCACAGAGGCCCGUGGGAGAGACAGCCCAGGGACAGAAGAGUAAGAGCACUUGAAGGAAAAGGAGAAAAGAGAAGAAAUGAAAACCACCCUUUUUCCAAAGCAAGACUUUGCUCUUAGGCAAGCCACGUCAUGAGUGGCCCAAUGGACAGGCCUACGUGGUGAGGAACUGAAGCCUCCAGCCAACAGCCACGUGAGCAGGCUUGGAAGUGGGUCCUCCAGGCCCAGUUAAGCCUCAGAUGACUGCAGCCCUGGCCGACAGCUUGAUUGCAGCCUCAAGAGACCCUGAAUCAGAACCACCCAGCUAAGCUGCUCCCGCAUUCCUGAGCACAGAAACUGUGAUAAUAAAUGGUAGUUGUUUCAAGCUGCCAAGUUUUGGGAUAAUUUAUUACGCAGCAAUAGAUAAUACACAGGACUUCUCAGAGCAUUUAAUAGGCUAAUGUAAAUCUCCAAGAAAGAAGAUAUACAAUGUAACAUUCCCCUUAGUUAUUUGGCCAAGAAGGCCGUCUUUUUUUGAGUUUUCUCAAGAGAGGAAACUAAUUUAAUAUGGCUCUGGUCCUACAAUUAGAUGUAAGUUCAAACCUUGGUCUGUUUCAUGAGCUAGUCAUUUACCCUUCCAGAACCUUUUAUAGAGUAGAAAGAAACCACCUGCCUUUGCAUCAAUCAUGACGACAGCCCCAGAUGGGCAGGUUCUGACCUCCUUGGUGAGGGAUCGGAGGGUAGCUUAUUUAGGUCCUACAAGGGAGUUUCACCCUGGGGCUCAGGGAGCUUCCACAAGGCCAUUAAGUGGGUCCAACACCCACCAUCUCAGUCUUUCUUCCACAGAUCAUUUCCCCAAAGUGGUGAGAAUUAGUCCUCUAGUUUGCAGACAGCUCAGAGAUGGGAGGUAUGGACCCACAUCUUCCCCAUCAGACUGAGAGCUGGCGUAGGCCACAGCAUGAGCCUCUCCCAUCAGAUUGGAAGCGUUUACCCAGGAUGGAUGGGCCACAAACUCCCCCUCCUCCUCCUCCUGAAUCCUGUGGAACCCCACAGCCAUGGGAGGGAAGGGUCAACAGAACCUUCUCUGGUCUUAAGAACAAACAUAGGUCUUGCCUUCCUUUUCAAGGUAAUUCCCUCUAUUCUUUAACCACUAAAAGACUGAAAUCAAGUUUCAAAUGCCUGACUGGUCAGAAACCCACGGAAACCCUGCAUAUCCCUCUUUGUUAAAAAGAAGACAGUUAAAAAAAAAAAAACUAUAAUGCGAAUACUUUAUUAUCAACGAGUGACUGGUAUUAGCUUUUUGUCUGGGCAUUAAUAUUUCAGAAACCAGACACCAAACCCAGGCUUUUCCACCUGGCUCUGCUGUAUCAUUUUCUUUAAAGAAAAAAAAAAAAA